UACGAAGGGGGCUAGCGUUGUUCGGUAUCACUGGGCGUAAAGCGCACGUAGGCGGAUUUUUAAGUCAGGGGUGAAAUCCCGAGGCUCAACCUCGGAACUGCCUUUGAUACUGGGAAUCUGGAGUCCGGGAGAGGUGAGCGGAACUGCGAGUGUAGAGGUGAAAUUCGUAGAUAUUCGCAAGAACACCAGUGGCGAAGGCGGCUCACUGGCCCGGAACUGACGCUGAGGUGCGAAAGCGUGGGGAGCAAACAGG
rnacentral:rRNA from 1 species